GAUGAACGCUGGCGGCGUGCCUAAUACAUGCAAGUCGAGCGAACAGACGAGGAGCUUGCUCCUCUGACGUUAGCGGCGGACGGGUGAGUAACACGUGGAUAACCUACCUAUAAGACUGGGAUAACUUCGGGAAACCGGAGCUAAUACCGGAUAAUAUAUUGAACCGCAUGGUUCAAUAGUGAAAGACGGUUUUGCUGUCACUUAUAGAUGGAUCCGCGCCGCAUUAGCUAGUUGGUAAGGUAACGGCUUACUAAGGCAACGAUGCGUAGCCGACCUGAGAGGGUGAUCGGCCACCCUGGAACUGGGACACGGUCCAGACUCCGACGGGAGGCAGCAGUAGGGAAUCUUCCGCAAUGGGCGAAAGCCUGACGGAGCAACGCCGCGUGAGUGAUGAAGGUCUUCGGAUCGUAAAACUCUGUUAUUAGGGAAGAACAAAUGUGUAAGUAACUAUGCACGUCUUGACGGUACCUAAUCAGAAAGCCACGGCUAACUACGUG
rnacentral:rRNA from 1 species